UGCAUCGAUGAAGAACGCAGCGAAAUGCGAUAAGUAAUGUGAAUUGCAGAAUUCAGUGAAUCAUCGAAUCUUUGAACGCACAUUGCGCCCGUCAGUAUUCUGGCGGGCAUGCCUGUUCGAGCGUCAUUACGCCCCUCAAGUCCCCUGUGGACUUGGUGUUGGGGAUCGGCGAGGCUGGUUUUCCAGCACAGCCGUCCCUUAAAUUAAUUGGCGGUCUCGCCGUGGCCCUCCUCUGCGCAGUAGUAAAACACUCGCAACAGGAGCCCGGCGCGGUCCACUGCCGUAAAACCCCCCAACUUUUUAUAGUUGACCUCGAAUCAGGUAGGACUACCCGCUGAACUUAAGCAUAUCAAUAAGCGGAGGA
rnacentral:misc_RNA from 1 species